rnacentral:tRNA from 1 species
GCUCAGUUGGUAGAGCAGAUGGUAGAGCAUGGUGUUUGCAACACCAGGGUUGUGGGUUCGAUUCCCAC